AAUGGGCGAAAGCCUGAUGCAGCAAUGCCGCGUGUGUGAAGAAGGCUGCGGGUUGUAAAGCACUUUCAGUAGGGAGGAAACAGUUGCGGGUUAAUAUCCCGCGACCUUGACGUUACCUACAGAAGAAGCACCGGCUAACUCUGUGCCAGCAGCCGCGGUAAUACAGAGGGUGCAAGCGUUAAUCGGAAUUACUGGGCGUAAAGCGCGCGUAGGCGGCUUGGUCAGUCGGAUGUGAAAGCCCCGGGCUUAACCUGGGAAUUGCAUUCGAUACUGCCAGGCUAGAAUGUAGUAGAGGGAAGUGGAAUUCCAGGUGUAGCGGUGAAAUGCGUAGAUAUCUGGAGGAACAUCAGUGGCGAAGGCGACUUCCUGGACUAACAUUGACGCUGAGGUGCGAAAGCGUGGGGAGCAAACAGGAUUAGAUACCUGGUAGUCCACGCCGUAACGAUKCAAUAGACGUU
rnacentral:rRNA from 1 species